AUCCGUGCCCUUGUUUCUAGGUUAAUACUGAUCGUUGAUAUGAGGUAUGAUCAAUGGCUAAGGUUUUAUCAGAAAAGGCGGGGUUUUUCCCUCCCUCCCAGGGUCACUUUUUCUCAAUCUCCCCCAAAUUUACAUUUGCAGCAAAACCCUACCAACCUCCAAAAUCACGCUACCAGAUCCAAUCUCACUACUGUAAGCAUUCUCAGUUGUAAUCAACAAUCACCUCCAAUCUCACCACCGUAUUCUGCCACUACCGAACACCACACCACACCCACACCCACACCAUCACCGACCUUUAAUCCCCUACCGGACGAACCUCCACCGGACGACCACUGGAGCUUUUGUUCUCACCACCCGACGAACCCCCUUAAGGUACCAGUCCCAUACCGAACAUUUUCGCUACCGGUACCCAGUUUUGAUGAUUUUCAGUACCGGUACCGGUACUACACUCAUCCCUAGCCGUAUAUGGCUGGAAAAUACGUUUGGACGUGGCUGAAAAUAAAGCUGUACAGGUAUGGAUAUAUGCCGGCAUUGGGCUGGGCAAACGCUCGUAUAUUGGGUUCGGUUGGUGUCAAGUGUAUUAGGUUGCUGUGUAUUUCAGGUCUCAAUGCUAUUGUUGCAGGGUGUAUCUUUUGCUCUGGAGUCGGUUUUGUGUCCAUCACCUGUUUGUAAUGGUUGUUGAUUUGGUGUUUAGAUCGGCUUCAAAUGGGUGAAGUUGUCUCCGCUAUUCCAACGUUCGGGUUUAAUGUAGAGACGGUGCAAUAUAACAAUAUAAGUUUCAAGUUUGGGAUCUCGGUAUGUUUGAUCGUUUGCUAAUUGUUAUCGAUUUGGAUUUGUUAUUAUUUUCUGUAUUUUUUGAAUUGUUCUUUUGAAAGAAAGAGUUAGAUAGUAAGUCAUAUGUUUAGACCAUAGUUGGCAAAGGUGCAAAGGCCGGGUGAGCCUUGGGCCUAGGCGCAAGUCACUUAAAAAGCAAGAGCCCGAGUAAGAAAGGUUUUAGAUGAUUUAGCUUUGGUUUUUUGCCGAAUGCCCUUGAAGCUGCUCUUCGACACAAGGAGGGUGAACUUGCAUCUUACAUGUCCAGAUUGGCAUCCAUGGAAUCCAUUCGGGACUCUCUUGCUGAGGAGUUGGUUAAAAUGACUGCAGAGCUUGAAGAACUUCGGGCUGAUAUCGUGGACCUGAAGGAGACGUACAGAGAACAAGUAAACACUCUUGUAAAUAAGCUCCAGGUGUUGAGUUCAUCAAUUGGUGCUGCUUAAAGGAGAGGUCAGGUCUUAAGGGUGCAAAAAUAUACUAUACAUUAUUACAGUAAAAUGGUUGUUUUACCCUUCUUUUUUCCCUUGAUGAAAGAUCUUGUAUUUUGAAUGAUUAGUAUUUUUAUUAAUUGAGUUUUUGAGAGCUUUCAUGGCUGCUCAUAUGUUCUGUAACUUCAAUUGAUUUAACAUACUAUUUUUGUUAAAUGAGUUUUUGAGAGCUUUCAUGGCUGCUCA